rnacentral:rRNA from 1 species
GACGAACGCUGGCGGCGUGCUUAACACAUGCGAGUCGAACGGAAAGGCCCUGCUUUUGUGGGGUGCUCGAGUGGCGAACGGGUGAGUAACACGUGAGUAACCUGCCCUUGACUUUGGGAUAACUUCAGGAAACUGGGGCUAAUACCGGAUAGGAGCUCCUGCUGCAUGGCGGGGGUUGGAAAGUUUCGGCGGUUGGGGAUGGACUCGCGGCUUAUCAGCUUGUUGGUGGGGUAGUGGCUUACCAAGGCUUUGACGGGUAGCCGGCCUGAGAGGGUGACCGGCCACAUUGGGACUGAGAUACGGCCCAGACUCCUACGGGAGGCAGCAGUGGGGAAUAUUGCACAAUGGGCGGAAGCCUGAUGCAGCAACGCCGCGUGCGGGAUGACGGCCUUCGGGUUGUAAACCGCUUUCGCCUGUGACGAAGCGUGAGUGACGGUAAUGGGUAAAGAAGCACCGGCUAACUACGUGCCAGCAGCCGCGGUGAUACGUAGGGUGCGAGCGUUGUCCGGAUUUAUUGGGCGUAAAGGGCUCGUAGGUGGUUGAUCGCGUCGGAAGUGUAAUCUUGGGGCUUAACCCUGAGCGUGCUUUCGAUACGGGUUGACUUGAGGAAGGUAGGGGAGAAUGGAAUUCCUGGUGGAGCGGUGGAAUGCGCAGAUAUCAGGAGGAACACCAGUGGCGAAGGCGGUUCUCUGGGCCUUUCCUGACGCUGAGGAGCGAAAGCGUGGGGAGCGAACAGGCUUAGAUACCCUGGUAGUCCACGCUGUAAACGGUGGGUACUAGGUGUGGGGUCCAUUCCACGGGUUCCGUGCCGUAGCUAACGCUUUAAGUACCCCGCCUGGGGAGUACGGCCGCAAGGCUAAAACUCAAAGGAAUUGACGGGGCCCCGCACAAGCGGCGGAGCAUGCGGAUUAAUUCGAUGCAACGCGUAGAACCUUACCUGGGUUUGACAUGGAUCGGGAGUGCUCAGAGAUGGGUGUGCCUCUUUUGGGGUCGGUUCACAGGUGGUGCAUGGCUGUCGUCAGCUCGUGUCGUGAGAUGUUGGGUUAAGUCCCGCAACGAGCGCAACCCUUGUUCACUGUUGCCAGCACGUUAUGGUGGGGACUCAGUGGAGACCGCCGGGGUCAACUCGGAGGAAGGUGGGGAUGACGUCAAGUCAUCAUACCCCUUAUGUCCAGGGCUUCACGCAUGCUACAAUGGCUGGUACAGAGAGUGGCGAGCCUGUGAGGGUGAGCGAAUCUCGGAAAGCCGGUCUCAGUUCGGAUUGGGGUCUGCAACUCGACCUCAUGAAGUCGGAGUCGCUAGUAAUCGCAGAUCAGCAACGCUGCGGUGAAUACGUUCCCGGG